CUGGUGGUUAUAGCGGCGGGGACACACCUCUUCCCAUUCCGAACAGAGUAGUUAAGCCCGCCCGCGCUGAUGGUACUGCACCUAUGGUUGGUGUGGGAGAGUAAGUCACCACCAGUU
rnacentral:rRNA from 1 species